GACGAACGCUGGCGGCGUGCUUAACACAUGCAAGUCGAACGGAAAGGCCCUGCUUUUGUGGGGUGCUCGAGUGGCGAACGGGUGAGUAACACGUGAGUAACCUGCCCUUGACUUUGGGAUAACUUCAGGAAACUGGGGCUAAUACCGGAUAGGAGCUCCUGCUGCAUGGUGGGGGUUGGUAAGUUUCGGCGGUUGGGGAUGGACUCGCGGCUUAUCAGCUUGUUGGUGGGGUAGUGGCUUACCAAGGCUUUGACGGGUAGCCGGCCUGAGAGGGUGGCCGGCCAAAUUGGGCCUGAAAUGCGGCACAGCCUCCUACGGGAGGCAGCGGUGGGGAAUAUUGCAUAAUGGGCGGAAGCCUGAUGCAGCAACGCCGCGUGCGGUAUGACGGCCUUCGGGUUGUAAACCGCUUUCGCCUGUGACGAGGCGUGAGUGACGGUAAUGGGUAAAGAAGCACCGGCUAACUACGUG
rnacentral:rRNA from 1 species